rnacentral:tRNA from 1 species
GUCUUCCUAGUAUUAAAUCUAGUAUAUGUGACUUCCACUCACCUGGUCUUGGUUAAAACCCAAGGGAAGACA